rnacentral:rRNA from 1 species
GUGGACGCCAGUCUGCGUGGAGCCAACCUUGAAAUACCACCCUUUAAUGUUUGAUGUUCUAACGUGGACCCGUAAUCCGGGUUGCGGACAGUGUCUGGUGGGUAGUUUGACUGGGGCGGUCUCCUCCUAAAGAGUAACGGAGGAGCACGAAGGUUGGCUAAUCCUGGUCGGACAUCAGGAGGUUAGUGCAAUGGCAUAAGCCAGCUUGACUGCGAGCGUGACGGCGCGAGCAGGUGCGAAAGCAGGUCAUAGUGAUCCGGUGGUUCUGAAUGGAAGGGCCAUCGCUCAACGGAUAAAAGGUACUCCGGGGAUAACAGGCUGAUACCGCCCAAGAGUUCAUAUCGACGGCGGUGUUUGGCACCUCGAUGUCGGCUCAUCACAUCCUGGGGCUGAAGUAGGUCCCAAGGGUAUGGCUGUUCGCCAUUUAAAGUGGUACGCGAGCUGGGUUUAGAACGUCGUGAGACAGUUCGGUCCCUAUCUGCCGUGGGCGCUGGAGAACUGAGGGGGGCUGCUCCUAGUACGAGAGGACCGGAGUGGACGCAUCACUGGUGUUCGGGUUGUCAUGCCAAUGGCACUGCCCGGUAGCUAAAUGCGGAAGAGAUAAGUGCUGAAAGCAUCUAAGCACGAAACUUGCCCCGAGAUGAGUUCUCCCUGAGACUUAG